GUCUAUGGCCAUACCACCCUGAAUGUGCCCGAUCUUAUCUGAUCUUGGAAGCUAAGCAGGGUCGAGCCUGGUUAGUAUUUGGAUGGGAGAUAGUACUCUGUUCUGUCUGGCU
rnacentral:rRNA from 1 species